rnacentral:rRNA from 1 species
GACGAACGCUGACGGCGUGCUUAACACAUGCAAGUCGAACGGAAAGGCCCUGCUUUUGUGGGGUGCUCGAGUGGCGAACGGGUGAGUAACACGUGAGUAACCUGCCCUUGACUUUGGGAUAACUUCAGGAAACUGGGGCUAAUACCGGAUAGGAGCUCCUGCUGCAUGGUGGGGGUUGGAAAGUUUCGGCGGUUGGGGAUGGACUCGCGGCUUAUCAGCUUGUUGGUGGGGUAGUGGCUUACCAAGGCUUUGACGGGUAGCCGGCCUGAGAGGGUGACCGGCCACAUUGGGACUGAGAUACGGCCCAGACUCCUACGGGAGGCAGCAGUGGGGAAUAUUGCACAAUGGGCGGAAGCCUGAUGCAGCAACGCCGCGUGCGGGAUGACGGCCUUCGGGUUGUAAACCGCUUUCGCCUGUGACGAAGCGUGAGUGACAGUAAUGGGUAAAGAAGCACCGGCUAACUACGUG